UUUUUCGGCACCCUCGAGCCAUCGCAGGGCUCCUCGUGUGCCCGGUUAGCGAGGGCACAUGGCGUUCCCAAACCCGCCUGGCCCCGGAGCCCGCCAGCCCGCGGGAUUUGGGGUCGGAGGAGGACCCGGGGGUGCUCGGUGUGGGGCCGGGGGGGGGCCAAGCGAGCUCUGCACCCGGGUUCCCAGCCCCUGAGCGGCGCGGCCGCGUCCCCUGGACAUGCAAUACCUGCUGCUAUUCUGGGGCCGCACGCCGAGCCAAGAUGGUUUUGCAAUGGGCUCCCACGGCCGGGCCCCGCUGCCCAAGCCCCCCCCUGCCCCCCGUUGCUGCAGCUGGGCUCUGCCGGCCCCCAGGGUGCCGCCGGCCACCCUGUGUGUGUCCCCCCCCCGCCCCAGUGUCACCCCACAGAGCUGGGGGGGGCCUGCGGGUGAGCCCCCCGCCCUGGGGCCCGUUGGAUGCCCUCCAGCAGGGGUUGAGCAAGCAGGGGGGCGGCGUGGGGGCCGGGGGGGGCCCCGUAACCCUACACCCCCCCUGGGCAGCCCGAAGGUGCGGCGCUGAGCCAGCCAACGGCUCCGGCACAGCACCCGGAGCCCCUCGGCCGUCCCCGACCCGCGGGGGCUGCGUGGCUCCCAGCCCGUGGGGGGGCUUCUCCGGGGGACAACGGGGCGCGGGGGGGUCCCCCACGGUUAGGGCCCGUCGCCGGGGUCGGGGUCGAUGCGGCCACGCCGCCCCCAGCCCCGUGCGCCCCGAAUCGGCGUGUCUGUCCCACACAGCACCCCGCGUCCCGCCCCCCCCAGCACCCACGCUGCUGCACGGCACCCAAGGGUGCUGCCAGCACCGCUGCUGUCACCAGGGGGCUGCUCGGUGCCACGCCGUGCCCUGCACCCCCGGGGACGGCACAGGGUCCCCUCCGUGUCCCUCGGGGGGGGGCUCCAAAGCACCCCACAGUCCCCACCCAGUGCCCCCCCCCACCCAGUGUCCCCCCCUCCCCGGUGUCCCCCUCCCUCGGUGUCCCCCCCUCCCCAGUGUCCCCCUCCUGGUGCCCAGUCCCUCCCAGUCCCUCCCAGUCCCCUCACCAGCAGCCAGCAGCAACAGGGGCAGGAGGCGCUCCAUGGCA
rnacentral:lncRNA from 1 species